UACGUAGGGGGCAAGCGUUGUCCGGAAUCAUUGGGCGUAAAGAGCGUGUAGGCGGCUCGAUAAGUCUGCUGUGAAAGUCCAGGGCUCAACCCUGGAAGGCCGGUGGAAACUGUCGGGCUAGAGUCCGGAAGAGGCGAGUGGAAUUCCCGGUGUAGCGGUGAAAUGCGCAGAUAUCGGGAGGAACACCGGUGGCGAAGGCGGGUCUCUGGGCCGAUACUGACGCUGAGGAGCGAAAGCGUGGGGAGCGAACAGG
rnacentral:rRNA from 1 species